AAGGCUUUAUCUUAAUUAAAGUGUCUGCUUUGCAUGCAGAAGAUGUGGGUUAGUGUCCCGCAAGUCUUA
rnacentral:tRNA from 1 species